CAGGUUCACAUACAACCAUCCAAUUAGUUUUCUUUCCUAUUGACUUUCAUAAUUAACCUAAUAGGAAAUAGUCUGCAUAUGUAAGUUCAGUUAAUUUUCAUGACAGGUUUUCAACAUGUAACAAAUUAACCCCAACUCAAUUUGAUUUCAUCAUUUUUAGCAUUCAAAUUCAUAACUAAUACAAUGCACCCAUAAGAGAACAUGCCCUAACCAUUCAUUCAACAGCAGCUAUCUAGUUUCCUAAACCAUAAUAACUAAUCCAAUUU
rnacentral:lncRNA from 1 species